rnacentral:lncRNA from 1 species
GGAAGGAGAUUGACUGUUAGUUUCUUAGGUGAGUGUUGGAGAUGCUGUUGAACUUUAAGCUUAAUUGGUCACCUGCUGUCCUUUGUUCUUUGAAAUAAUUGACAUUGAUCCUUGCUGUUCAGCCACAUUGACACUUAUAUCUUGGGAGUUCUAGGAUUGGACUAACAAAAGUGGAGGUUGUUACUUACACUGCAAAAGAAACAACCAGAGCUGUGUCACUCAGAAGGCUGAAAAGAAUCAGGCUGACAGCAUAAUGCAGUGAAGAUGGGUGAAGAGAGAUGUGUUUCAUCUGAAAUUUGAAGGGCUUUACAACUCUUCUCCUUUAACUAACUUACCAUCCUUUAACUAACUUACCACCCAAAAUGAAUUCUGUAGCCUUUGUC